CCCAACUAUCCCUAUUAAUCAUUACGUCAAUCCUAGAAACCAACAAAAUAGGAUCGAUCGUCCUAUUUCAUUAUUCCAUGCUAAUGUAUUCAAGCGUUAGCUUGCUUUAAACACUCUAAUUUUUUCAAAGUAACAGUCCAGUUUCCCCGCAACACCAAAUUAAUGGCAUUACGGUUCAUCAGGAAGGAGGAAUCAGUAAGACCAGUGCAUACCUGUGGCACGACCAGCCUACUAACCCCGAAAUUCAACUA
rnacentral:rRNA from 1 species